rnacentral:rRNA from 1 species
AUGAACGCUGGCGGCGUGCCUAAUACAUGCCAGUCGAGCGCACAGACGAGGAGCUUGCUCCUCUGACGUUAGCGGCGGACGGGUGAGUAACACGUGGAUAACCUACCUAUAAGACUGGGAUAACUUCGGGAAACCGGAGCUAAUACCGGAUAAUAUAUUGAACCGCAUGGUUCAAUAGUGAAAGACGGUUUUGCUGUCACUUAUAGAUGGAUCCGCGCCGCAUUAGCUAGUUGGUAAGGUAACGGCUUACCAAGGCAACGAUGCGUAGCCGACCUGAGAGGGUGAUCGGCCACACUGGAACUGAGACACGGUCCAGACUCCCACGGGAGGCAGCAGUAGGGAAUCUUCCGCAAUGGGCGAAAGCCUGACGGAGCAACGCCGCGUGAGUGAUGAAGGUCUUCGGAUCGUAAAACUCUGUUAUUAGGGAAGAACAAAUGUGUAAGUAACUAUGCACGUCUUGACGGUACCUAAUCAGAAAGCCACGGCUAACUACGUG